rnacentral:rRNA from 1 species
UACGUAGGGGCAAGCGUUGUCCGGAUUUAUUGGGCGUAAAGAGCGUGUAGGCGGCCAGGUAGGUCUGCUGUGAAACAUCGAGGCUUAACCUCGAGCUGUCGGCGGAAACCAUCUGGCUAGAGUCCGGAAGAGGAGAAUGGAAUUCCCGGUGUAGCGGUGAAAUGCGCAGAUAUCGGGAAGAACACCGUGGCGAAGGCGGUCUCU